CCACCCGGAGCGAUCGCGGGUUCAUUCCGAUAAGGGAUCGAUGAGUUAGGGGUGAUCAAUAACCCUCCCUGCUCCCCCCAGUGGGAAUUUUCAUCCUUAAUUAGCCUUAAUUAGUUCAUUAAUGGCCUUAAUUAGCACUAAUUAGCUCCUUAAUAACCAUUAAUAACCAUUAAUAGCCAUUAAUAACCAUUAAUAACCACCCGGAGCGAUUGCGGGUUAAAUCCGAUAAGGGAUCAAUAAGUUAUGGGUGAUCAAUAACCCUCCCCAAUCCUCCCAGUGCCACUUUUCUGCUCUUAAUUAGCCUUAAUUAGGUCGUUAAUAGCCAUAAUCAGUCUUAAUUAGCAUUAAUUAGCUCCUUAAUAACCAUUAACGACCCCCCGGAGCGAUCAUGGGGUAAUUCCGAUAAGCGAUCAAUAACUUAUCGGUGAUCAAUAACCCUCCCCUGCCAUUUUCCUGCUCUUAAUUAGCCUUGAUUAGCUGAUUAAUCAGCUGAUUAAUUAGCGCUAAUUAUGCUGGCUCGCGUGAUGACGGCGUUGGGGGCUCUAUUGAUCACUUAUUGAUUGAUUAAUCGAUGGGUUAUUGAUCGGUUAUUGAUCACUAUCAAUGGGUUAUCGAUCAGUUAUUGAUCAGUUAUUGAUCACUGAGUUAUUGAUGGGUUAUUGAUGGCUCAUUGAUUGGUUAUUAAUCACUAUCAAUGGGUUAUUGAUGGGCUAUUGAUGGGUUAUUGAUCGCUAUCGAUGGGUUAUCGAUGGGUUAUUGAUCACUAUAGACAGGUUAUUGAUCACAAUUGAUGGGUUAUCAAUGGGUUAUCAAUCAAUCACUGUGGAUGGGUUAUCAAUGGGUUAUCGAUCAGUUAUCAAUGGAUUAUCAAUCAAUCACUGUGGAUGGGUUAUUGAUCAGUUAUCGAUGGGUUAUUGAUCAAUCACUGUGGAUGGGUUAUCGAUCAGUUAUCGAUGGGGUAUUGAUCAAUCACUGUGGAUGGGUUAUCGAUCGGUUAUCGAUCAAUCACUGUGGAUGGGUUAUCGCUGGGUUAUCGAUGAGUUAUCGAUGGGUUAUCGAUCAAUCACUGUGGAUGGGUUAUCGCUGGGUUAUUGAUCAGUUAUGGAUGGGGUAUUGAUCAAUCACUGUGGAUGGGUUAUCGAUCAGUUAUCGAUCAGUUAUCGAUCAGUUAUCGAUGGGUUAUUGAUGGGCACUCACGUGACCACGGCGUUGGGGUUUUUC
rnacentral:lncRNA from 1 species